rnacentral:rRNA from 1 species
UACAGAGGGGGCAAGCGUUGUUCGGAAUUACUGGGCGUAAAGGGCGCGUAGGCGGCCUGCUAAGUCGAACGUGAAAUCCCUGGGCUUAACCCAGGAACUGCGUCCGAUACUGGUUGGCUUGAAUCCGGGAGAGGGAUGUGGAAUUCCAGGUGUAGCGGUGAAAUGCGUAGAUAUCUGGAGGAACACCGGUGGCGAAGGCGGGUCUCUGGACAGUUCCUGACGCUGAGGCACGAAGGCCAGGGGAGCAAACGGG